CUCCGUAGGUGACCCUGCGGAGGGAUCAUUACACAAAUAUGAAGGCGGGCUGGAACCUCUCGGGGUUACAGCCUUGCUGAAUUAUUCACCCUUGUCUUUUGCGUACUUCUUGUUUCCUUGGUGGGUUCGCCCACCACUAGGACAAACAUAAACCUUUUGUAAUUGCAAUCAGCGUCAGUAACAAAUUAAUAAUUACAACUUUCAACAACGGAUCUCUUGGUUCUGGCAUCGAUGAAGAACGCAGCGAAAUGCGAUAAGUAGUGUGAAUUGCAGAAUUCAGUGAAUCAUCGAAUCUUUGAACGCACAUUGCGCCCUUUGGUAUUCCAAAGGGCAUGCCUGUUCGAGCGUCAUUUGUACCCUCAAGCUUUGCUUGGUGUUGGGCGUCUUGUCUCUAGCUUUGCUGGAGACUCGCCUUAAAGUAAUUGGCAGCCGGCCUACUGGUUUCGGAGCGCAGCACAAGUCGCACUCUCUAUCAGCAAAGGUCUAGCAUCCAUUAAGCCUUUUUUUCAACUUUUGACCUCGGAUCAGGUAGGGAUACCCGCUGAACUUAAGC
rnacentral:rRNA from 1 species